GCCUCGGCAGCGCAGUUGGUUAGCACGAACCCCUGUAAAGAGUGAAAUGAGAGUUCGAUUCUCGUUUGAGGCA